UCUGCAGACCGGAUGUUGGUGGGCCCAGCAGUCUCUGCGGGACAGGAUGUUAGUUGACCCAGUAGUGCUCAGGUGCACCGCAGGCAUUUGCAGCACAGCGGCUGUGAGUUCAGAAAGCAGAGCUUGCCACGGUAACCCAUUCUUCCCUCUCCCCAUUGUUAUUCUUUCAGUCCCCACCCUUUUUCACCCCCACUCCCAGCGACCUCUGACCUCUGCCUCAUCUGAAAACUUUUUCUCUCUUCUUGUUCUCUCCUGGUGUGCACAUGUGUCUUUGUCUCUCUGUCUCUUUUUUUCUUCUCCUCUCUUUCUCUCUCUCCCUCCCUCCCUCCCUCUCUCCCUCUCUCUCUCUCCUUUAAUAAACGUUUACGCCUAUUUUUUGUGUCUAUGUGCCUUUUACCCUCUGUUUACCUGCCACUCGGCUCUCCGGCCGCAUGGGCGCACACCUGCUGCUGGGAAUCUGCAGUCCCCGGCGUCUCUGCGCGGCAGGUGCUCCGCGGCCAUUUUAAGAAUAAAACCCAUAGUCAAAUGAGAUUUUCCAACUUAUCCACUAUGCGAAUACACGGCUCCUGUCACUUGUUACUGCUCUUUUGUCCCUGCCUACUUCAUGCACACCGUCCGCCAGUAAUGAACUCACAGACGCCCCCUCUGCAGCUUUUGAGAGGCCAGACACAGCAAAGAAGAUGAAUUAAGAGGCAGUUUUCCUGGCAUCUUUUUCCCUCCUUCAUGUGCUUGUGUGAAAUCUAAGGGGAAACUUGUGACCUCACUCAGCCCACGAUCUAAUCCUCCUGGCAAGUGGCACCGUGAGCCAACACCGUGAAAUCCGGCAACCAGUGACUUAGCUCCGCCCACACCGAGCCAGAGUUCCCUGGCACCUGGGGUCUUCUCGGGGCAGCACGGGACAGAGGGAAGUAAGGGCUCCCCGCGCGAGCUGCAGGUCACCGGGCUGUGGCGCCCUGGGUCUCGCGGCCAACUCCGUUGACGUCCCAGGUCGCGUGCCCAGGUCGCGUGCCCAGGCGGGUAGGGACCCUUAAGCCCUGCUCAGAGCCACAGCCCUAGAGGCACUCUUCCUGUCCGCCAAGGGGACUGACUGGACCGGACCGCUAAAGGGAAGCUGUCGGCGGGGCUGUCUCCGAAGACCCACAAACGGACCCUAGAUUUAUCUACAGCAGGCACAGACGCUCGCAGCAGACUGUAGCUUCAAUUCCAGGAGAUCUGACCUCCACAGGAACGGUGCCAAGAACUGGUGUGAGGCAUCCAGAUGCUCACAGGGACACAGACGGAGCACAAGGAAGAAAACCAUUUCUGCAGUGUGCUGGAGUAGCCCAAACCGCUUAGCCAGGGGGCCAGCUGCUUCCAGGCCUGGAUAUUGUCCUUCCGUAGCCACUGUCCAAUGAUCAUCUCCAUGUACAACAGGAGAAUCCCCACCAGAAGCAGCAGGAUGAGGUACAUCAGCAGAAAGCUGCCUUUGGAGGGGUGGGAUCUUGCUCAGGCAGCUGGGAGCCCCGCAGCCCUCACACUCCUGCCUGGGGGGUCUGGACACCCCUUCCUUAACCUCACAGCAUAGGCUCUGGCUUCACCUCCUCCAUUCUGGUGGCACAGGUAUGGGAAAUGCCAAAUGCUGCCAAGUCCAAUGGAGAAGGCCACCGAGAUCAGGGCUAUUCUCUAUAUUCUUCUCCUGGAAGUGGUUUGGGAUCUUGGUAAUUCGGACCUCUCUGGUCCUGAAGCCCCAGGACAUGGAUGUCCAUGCACACCAGAAAGCCCAGGGAGAUAGAGGUGAUAGCAGAGCGAGGACAAGUCUCUGCGCGGUGAGGUGGGUGUCAGGGAUGGUGACCAGAGAGUCCCGUCAAGAGCUUGCUUGAGGUAGCUAUUGUCUUUUCCGUAGGACACUUACUGGGGACACUGGUGGUGUACAUGAACCUGUCCUCUGGACAGUGGGAGGUCCUGAGGCUCAGCAGGAAGGAGGCCACUGGGACACUUACAAGCACUGAGAUCCUCAUCCUAGUAAUCUGAUUGAUAUAGAGGAUGACCCAGGUGGCAAAGAGGCACAGGGUGAUGUUCAAGACCAGCAUCUCAAUCCCUUCUUCUACCUGGCUGGAGGCAUCAAGGGUUGUGUGAUACCAGAAAUACUGGUAGGGCACUGUCCGAAGGCACUGGAUCUCUGGGGGGAGAAGGAGGCAGAGAUUCAGAUACUUAAAGGUCACCUCAGAUGGUGCCUCCAAGAGCUCUUGCAACUAACCCAUCUCCCUGUCCUUCUCCUUACUAGUCAUACUGAUGGCAAGCAAGUGCUCUCAUCAGAGAGGCUUCCUGACUCAGCUUUAGCUGCAAAACCCUGCAGCUCUUUUAAGAGAUCCUGCCAGGAAACACUUAAAUGGUGUUGAUGAAAAGCUGAAGGCAUGCUUUUCGGUUUUCAGCCGUAGGAGGAAAAAGCUGUGUCGUUUAAAAAUGCUGGCUUUCUGGGCUGUCCUGCCAGGGCAAAGUCUGACUCCUUUAGGCAGGCAGUCCAACUGAAUGUGGUCUGUGAGCAGAAUGCUGCCGCUUGCUCGCUGUCAUGGACCUUAAAACCUCACAGAGUUGUGGCAAUAAAAAUGUCUACUGCCAGUACCUCUGCCAUGAGGCUGGAAAGCUAAGGAAUGGGCUGGAUCCAGCCACCAAAGCCACGGCUUUAGUCCUACUGAUAUUGCUUGGUAAAUUAAAGACUCAUGUGGCCACAAGUAAAAGAAAGAGUCAAAGUCGAAGAAAACGUCUAAAUGGUUUACAGUGUGUUAAGAAUAUAUGUAAGCUAAAGGUUAAAGUUCUUAAAAAAAGAGAGUAGUUAAUCCCAACACUUGGCAGGCAGAAGUAAAUUGACCUCUGUGACUUCAAGGGGUAGAAGUAGAUUGACCUCUGUGACUUCAAGUUGUGGUAGCACACACCUUUAAACCCAAUGCCUGUGAGGCAGAGACUGAGGGAUCUCUGUGAGUUCAAGGACAGCAUGGUCUACAGAGUUAUUACAGGACAAAGAUAUACAGAGAACUUGUCUCAAAAAGUAAAAGUAAAAAUAAAAGUAAUAGAGGUUAAAGUAAAGCCACAUAAAGAUGGAAAAUACACAGAGAAUCUUGAUACUGUAUGCUAUUAUGCUCUCUUUGAAUUGUUUGAAUGCUGAGGUAGGAGCAACAGCUGCUAAAAGAUAUUUGUUUAUAAAUGCUAUUGAACUAACCCAAGAUAGAUAUUUUGAAAAUUCCUUGACUUCAAAAUUUGGAUCUAAGGAUAUGAUACUUUGGAAAAAGAGAUUCUUUUUUUGUUUUCACAGAGGAUGAGACCCUGUGGAUUGCUUCUAUCCCAAUAUGGUAUGAUGGACCACGUCUUCCUGAAAGGUUGCUGUGAACACCCUCAGGAAAUUACUUUGCUCAGCUGCCGACUGAGAUGAAUCUAGCGCACAGGUUAUAUCAUGAAAGACCUGAAUAACAGUGCCCCCAUUCAGCAUGAAGCAGUUUGGAGAGAAAUAACUACAUCCAUAUUCUCAAAUAUUGUUUAUAAAUGUUCUUUUACAUUUAAAGGGGGAUAUGAUAUAGAUAUGAAUAAUUUGCCUUGGUAUGGAUUUUAAGGUCAAUUUGUUAUAUGUAUAUGCAUUUCUGAUCUUGAUUAAGGUAUUGUGAUUGUGUAGUUCACUUAAAAAUGUAAUAUAUAUAGGUUGUUAAUGGAUAAUCAUCAAUAAUCAAGCUUGUAGUCAUGUUAGAUUUUCUAGAUAUAUAGAGAUAUAUUUCAGUUAAAUAGGCAUUCUUCAUAUCUUUCAAAGACUACAGAAUAUGGCAUUUUAAAUGUCUUAAUAACUUAGGAUUGUUCAUGACAGUGAGACACAUCUGCUCCUGAUAGCACCAAUCUACUUCAAGAGGAAGAUGGGCAUUGAAGAGGCUCCUUAUGGAGUUUGAUAGCCAUUUGGGCAAGAAACUGCUCUUGCCUGGACUGUUGCAUAAACUGGACACAGAGAACCUGCAGAGAGAGGACUGCUGAACUUGCCUAAAGGUGAGAUGGUCUUUUAGGGUUCCUGCUUCAUUAAAGAGUCUACAAGACAUUCUGCAGGACACAGCAGAUAGUGACUGAACUGUCUUUGAAAUUUCCUGCUUCAUGGAAAUGUCUGCUGGAUACUGUGAGCCUGAAGGUUGAAGAUUGAUGCCCCAACGGUACAAAAGAACUUUGGGUGACUGCACAGGCAGCGAGAUGUCUCUGUCAUUUCUAGAGUUUUGAAAGUUUCUUACUUCUUGUUUGCUUAGGUAAUAUUAUAUCAUUCUGGAGUUUUUGAUGGAGUUGAAGAAUGGAUAGUUAUAGUUUUACUUAGUUAUGAUAAAAGAUAAAAUAUAAAUAUUGUAACUGCAAUUCUUGCUUGAUAACUGUUUUGUUAAAUGUAAUUUUACUAUGUUAAAGUGAAAGCCUUUCCUUUUUGUUUAAACAGAAAAAGGGAAAAUGAUGGAGGAUAGUCAUAUAUCUAUCUGUUGUUUUCAUUGGUUAAUUAAUAAAGAAACUGCUUGGCCUGAUAGAUCAGAACAUAGGUGGGUGGAGUAGACAGAAUAGAAUGCUGGGAAGAAGGGAAGUGAGGUCAGAUGCUAAGGAGCCAGCCGGCAGGUCAGACAUGCUGAAUCUUCCCCGGUAAGCUACCACCUCGUGGUGCUACACAGAUUAUUAGAAAUGGGUUAAUCAAGAUGUGAGAAUUAGCCAAUAAGAGGCUGAAAUUAAUGGGCCAGGCAGUGUUUAAAAGAAUACAAUUUGUGUGUUGUUAUUUUGGGGCAUAAGCUAGCCAGACGGCCGGGAGCUGGCCUGCAGCUCCUUCUACAAC